rnacentral:lncRNA from 1 species
AGUUUCAUCAUUGAGGUCAUUUUGGGAUUGGCAUGUGUUGAUUGUUUUUACCUUAAGAAUUGGUCACAUUUGUCUGUUUCUUUGGUUGUCAAGUAAUUUUGGAUUCCAUCCUGAACAUUGUCAAUGUUAUAGUGCAUAGGUUCUAAGUCUUUUUAUAAUCCUUAGAAGAAUGUUGAUGUUUUUUAUUUAGCAGGCAAUCAGUGCAGUUAGGCUGUGUCUAAGUUCUGCUGAUCUUCUGUGGGCAAUGGUUUAAAUUUCAAUUAAAUUAUAUAUCUGUGCCGUGCUGCUAUGGGUCUGUCCUGCACAUGCAUAAUUCAGGGGUUAGUCUGAGACUUAUGGAGGUGGUUCAUAUCUCAGUUAAAGUUUCAAAGUCUUUGCUAUACUGGUUUGUGUUUUUUUUGUGUAGACAUACCCAUUGUCAGUUGAUGGACAUUUGGGUUGUUUCUAUGUUUUGCCCAUUACAAAUAAUGCUGCUAUGAACAUUCAUGUACAAAUUUUUGUGUGAACAUAUGUUUUCAUUUCUUUUAGGUAUAUGUCUAGGAGUUGAAUAGCCAGGUCAUACUGUACUUUUCUUUCUUUUUUUUUUUUUUAAAGAGACAGAGUUUCGCUAUGUUGCCCAAGCUGAACUCCUGUAGCCUCAAGUGAUCCUUCACCCCACUCUUAAAUAACUGGGAUUAUAGGCAUAAACUACAGCAUCUGGCCCAUAUAAAAAUUUGAUGUUUACUAUUUUAAGGAACUGCCAAAGUGUUUUCCAAAGCAGUGGCAUCACCAGCCAUUCCCACCAGUAAUGUGUAAGUCUUCCAGUUUCUCCAUAUCCUCAACCCUUGUUGUCUAUCUUAUUUUAGCCAUCCUAGUGGGGAUGUGAAGUGACAUUUCAUUGUGGUUUUGAUUUGCAUUUUUCUGAUGGCUACUGAUAUUGAGCACCUUUUCAUGUGCUUACUAGCUACUAUGUUUUGAACAUAUGUGUCCUUUCAAAAUUCAUAUAUUGGAAAUUCAACCCUAACAUGAUGGCAUGAAAAGGUGGGGCCUUUAGGAAUGAUUAAGUCCUGAGGGCAGAGCUCUUAUCAAUGAGAUUGGUGAUCUUAUAAAAAAGCUGGAGGAAACUAGCUAGACGCUUUUGCCCUUCUGCCUUCCACCAUGUGAGAGUACAGUGUUCAUUCUCACUGCAGGGUACAGCAACAAGGGACCAUCUUGAAGGCAGAGACCAGGCCCUUAGACACUGAACCUGCCAGUGCCUUGAUAUUGGACUUUCAGCCUCCAGAACUGUGAGAAAUAAAUUUUUGUUCUUUGUAAAUUACCCAAUCUCAGGU